UACGGAAGGUCCGGGCGUUAUCCGGAUUUAUUGGGUUUAAAGGGAGCGUAGGCCGGCUUUUAAGUCAGCUGUGAAAGUCCGCGGCUCAACCGUGGAAUUGCAGUUGAAACUGGAGGCCUUGAGAUGUCGAGAGGUAUGCGGAAUGCGCAGUGUAGCGGUGAAAUGCUUAGAUAUUGCGCAGAACUCCGAUUGCGAAGGCAGCAUACCGGCGGCGAUCUGACGCUGAGGCACGAAAGCGUGGGUAUCGAACAGG
rnacentral:rRNA from 1 species